rnacentral:rRNA from 1 species
AAGAUUAAAAAUUAGGGUUUGAUUCAUGCUCAGUAAGUAUGCGGAGAACGAUGGAUUAUACAUGCGAGGGGAUUUCAUCCCCUCAAUCCCCGGAUUGCGCUUCGCGCAAUCGGGAAUGCGAGGGGCGCAGCCCCGCACGGGUGAGUAAUUAUGCGAGUAUUAAUAUAUAAAUUUAUU